rnacentral:rRNA from 1 species
UGGACCUACGGGAGGCAGCAGUGGGGGAUAUUGCACAAUGGGCGAAAGCCUGAUGCAGCGACGCCGCGUGUGGGAAGACGGUCCUCGGAUUGUAAACCACUGGCUUUGGGGACGAUAAUGACGGUACCCAAGGAGGAAGCUCCGGCUAACUACGUGCCAGCAGCCGCGGUAAUACGUAGGGAGCGAGCGUUGUCCGGAAUUACUGGGUGUAAAGGGUGCGUAGGCGGCUGUGCAAGUCAGUAGUGAAAUCCAUGGGCUUAACCCAUGAACUGCUAUUGAAACUGCACAGCUUGAGUGAAGUAGAG